AUUGAACGCUGGCGGCAUGCCUUACACAUGCAAGUCGAACGGUAACGCGGGGCAACCUGGCGACGAGUGGCGAACGGGUGAGUAAUACAUCGGAACGUGCCCAGUAAUGGGGGAUAGCCCGGCGAAAGCCGGAUUAAUACCGCAUACGACCUAAGGGUGAAAGAGGGGGAUCGCAAGACCUCUCGUUAUUGGAGCGGCCGAUGGCAGAUUAGGUAGUUGGUGGGGUAAAGGCCUACCAAGCCGACGAUCUGUAGCUGGUCUGAGAGGACGACCAGCCACACUGGGACUGAGACACGGCCCAGACUCCUACGGGAGGCAGCAGUGGGGAAUUUUGGACAAUGGACGCAAGUCUGAUCCAGCAAUGCCGCGUGCGGGAAGAAGGCCUUCGGGUUGUAAACCGCUUUUGUCAGGGAGGAAAUCUUCUGGGUUAAUACCUCGGGAGGAUGACGGUACCUGAAGAAUAAGCACCGGCUAACUACGUGCCAGCAGCCGCGGUAAGAC
rnacentral:rRNA from 1 species